AUGCCUCUCUCCGGGUGGAAAGGGACGUUGUCGGUGAGAGUGAUCCAGGCACCGGCCCGCGCCGUCCGAAGUCGGCGGUGGCGGGUCUCUCGGCUCAGCGUGGGUCGUGCCCGCCCGGGACCUGGGCGGUGCGGGCGCUCAGGCGGCGCAUCCUCACCGGGGCCUGUGCUCACCGCGUCCGGCGGGCGGCGCUGCGCCUCCCCUCGGGGUCUUGCUCAGGGCUGCAGCUCGGCCCGCGCCGCUCCCCGGGGCGCCCUCUCCGCCCGCGCCAGGAGCCGGGCGGCCGCGGCCCCUCUCGCCGGCCCCAGCUGCAGCCUGUCUUUGUUGCUUCCUCUCGCACGACCGCCCGCCCGCGGCUCGCAGCCCCCAGGUCCGCCCGGGGGCGGGAGGGGGUCGUCUCCUCCGGGGCUGCACGCACCUGCAGCGGCCCCGACUCCUCGCCGGGCAUGCACCGGCCCCCGCAGGUUGCAAAGAGCGGCGGCGAGAAUGCACCGGCCCCUCCUCCUCCUACUCCAAGCCCUGGGUGUGGGGGGAGGGGAAGCUGGAGAGCAGAGGCAGCCGCGGCGGCGGCAGCGGGCGGCGGAGGCUCGGAUGCAGUCCCGGGGGCCUCGGCGCCGCGAAAUAACUGGUCCGGGUGGCGCAGGGCGGACGUGGGAAUGGCCAGGAGGACGGUACACCGGGCGUGCGAGCUCUCGAGCUGCAGCAGGGGCGGCGCGCGCCGGGCUCUCACGCGCCCAUGGCCCCUGGCGGCGCGCAGGGGCUCCCGGGGCCUCAGCCUCGCGCCGCCUGGCGCGCGCCGGCGCCUCGCCUCGCCUCGCCUCAGGCCCGGGUGCCGCGCGCAGCGUCCCGCAGGCGGCGGGCCGGGCUCUUCACCUCCCCCGGCUGGAGCACGCAGCCUUUCUGCGGAGCCGCCAGCCCGGCAGUCCUGCCCGCUGCUCCGCUCCGGCCCGACUGACAGGCGCGAGCGCCGGCAGCGGCCGCGGCGUCUCGCCCCCCGCCCGCCCCCUGCGAUCUAGCCCAAUCAGCGGCGGCCGAGAGGCGGUUACCAGGGUGACGCGGCGCCGCGUCCUGCGGGGGGCGGGGCCAGGGGCCGCCACGCGCGCUUUUCGCGGCAAAAUUCAAAGGCCGGCAGGGCGGCUCUCCAACCUCCUCCCCCAAGCUGGGGCGGGGCGGGGCCUACCUCGCGAGGACUGCAACUCCCGGCAUGCAGCGCGCCGGCGCCGGGCGGAGGGGCCCCGACUUGGGGCGCAGAGCAUGCUCGUAUUUGUAGUCCCUUUGUCGGGACCCAGCGGUGGAAAAACCAGUAUCCUUUAUGGAGCGCAUAUUUGGGGCAAGGCACUGUGCUAA
rnacentral:lncRNA from 1 species